rnacentral:piRNA from 1 species
UAAGGCAAUACUCACAAGGAAAAGUGUCU